GCGAAAGUAGCUCAGCUGGUAGAGCGCAACCUUGCCAAGGUUGAGGUCGCGAGUUCGAACCUCGUCUUUCGCU
rnacentral:tRNA from 5 species